rnacentral:rRNA from 1 species
GACGAACGCUGGCGGCGUGCUUAACACAUGCAAGUCGAACGGUGAAGCCCUUCGGGGUGGAUCAGUGGCGAACGGGUGAGUAACACGUGAGCAACCUGCCCCUGGCUCUGGGACAACCACUGGAAACGGUGGCUAAUACCGGAUACGACCCGCCUCGGCAUCGAGUGUGGGUGGAAAGUUUUUCGGCUGGGGAUGGGCUCGCGGCCUAUCAGCUUGUUGGUGAGGUGAAGGCUCACCAAGGCGACGACGGGUAGCCGGCCUGAGAGGGCGACCGGCCACACUGGGACUGAGACACGGCCUAGACUCCUACGGGAGGCAGCAGUGGGGAAUAUUGCACAAUGGGCGAAAGCCUGAUGCAGCGACGCCGCGUGAGGGAUGACGGCCUUCGGGUUGUAAACCUCUUUCAGCUCCGAAGAAGCGAAAGUGACGGUAGGAGCAGAAGAAGCACCGGCUAACUACGUG